AAAGAGAAGAUUGACCUCGCGUCGAUCGAGGGAGGAUGGGCGGCGUUUAUUUGCGUCGCUCCGCACUCCCGGGGCGUCUCGUUGUCAUUGCGACAUGAGGCGCACCUAGAGCGUACACGUUGGGACCCGAAAGAUGGUGAACUAUGCCUGGUCAGGAUGAAGUCAGGGGAAA
rnacentral:rRNA from 1 species